rnacentral:ribozyme from 11 species
UUAUUAUUAUUAUUAUUAUUAUUAUUAACAAAAAUAAUAAUAAGAAUAAUAUUAAACACGGUUUUGUUGAACUACACCUAU